rnacentral:tRNA from 1 species
UUAGAAAGACAGGACUCGAACCUGCACCAAAAAGCCCAAAACCCUUUGUACUACCACUAUACCACUCUCU